GACGAACGCUGGCGGCGUGCUUAACACAUGCAAGUCGAACGGAAAGGCCCUGCUUUUGUGGGGUGCUCGAGUGGCGAAAGGGUGAGUAACACGUGAGUAACCUGCCCUUGACUUUGGGAUAACUUCAGGAAACUGGGGCUAAUACCGGAUAGGAGCUCCUGCUGCAUGGUGGGGGUUGGAAAGUUUCGGCGGUUGGGGUUGGACUCGCGGCUUAUCAGCUUGUUGGUGGGGUAGUGGCUUACCAAGGCUUUGACGGGUAGCCGGCCUGAGAGGGUGACCGGCCACAUUGGGACUGAGAUACGGCCCAGACUCCUACGGGAGGCAGCAGUGGGGAAUAUUGCACAAUGGGCGGAAGCCUGAUGCAGCAACGCCGCGUGCGGGAUGACGGCCUUCGGGUUGUAAACCGCUUUCGCCUGUGACGAAGCGUGAGUGACGGUAAUGGGUAAAGAAGCACCGGCUAACUACGUG
rnacentral:rRNA from 1 species